rnacentral:rRNA from 1 species
GUACACUCCUGCGGGAGGCAGCAGUGGGGAAUUUUGGACAAUGGGCGAAAGCCUGAUCCAGCAAUGCCGCGUGAGUGAAGAAGGCCUUCGGGUUGUAAAGCUCUUUUGUCAGGGAAGAAACGGUGAGAGCUAAUAUCUUUUGCUAAUGACGGUACCUGAAGAAUAAGCACCGGCUAACUACGUGCCAGCAGCCGCGGUAAUACGUAGGGUGCAAGCGUUAAUCGGAAUUACUGGGCGUAAAGCGUGCGCAGGCGGUUUUGUAAGUCUGAUGUGAAAUCCCCGGGCUCAACCUGGGAAUUGCAUUGGAGACUGCAAGGCUAGAAUCUGGCAGAGGGGGGUAGAAUUCCACGUGUAGCAGUGAAAUGCGUAGAUAUGUGGAGGAACACCGAUGGCGAAGGCAGCCCCCUGGGUCAAGAUUGACGCUCAUGCACGAAAGCGUGGGGAGCAAACAGGAUUAGAAACCCUAGUAGUCCCAUG